rnacentral:rRNA from 1 species
GACGAACGCUGGCGGCGUGCUUAACACAUGCAAGUCGAACGGAAAGGCUCCAGCUUGCUGGAGUACUCGAGUGGCGAACGGGUGAGUAACACGUGGGUAAUCUGCCCUGCACUCUGGGAUAAGCCUGGGAAACUGGGUCUAAUACUGGAUAUGACCUUUCUCCUUAUGGGGUUUGGUGGAAAGUUUUUCGGUGUAGGAUGAGCCCGCGGCCUAUCAGCUUGUUGGUGGGGUGAUGGCCUACCAAGGCGACGACGGGUAGCCGGCCUGAGAGGGUGAUCGGCCACAUUGGGACUGAGAUACGGCCCAGACUCCUACGGGAGGCAGCAGUGGGGAAUAUUGCGCAAUGGGCGGAAGCCUGAUGCAGCGACGCCGCGUGAGGGAUGACGGCCUUCGGGUUGUAAACCUCUUUCAGCAGGGACGAAGCGUAAGUGACGGUACCUGCAGAAGAAGCACCGGCUAACUAUGUG